CUUUACCAUCUCACAUGCAAGCCUCCGCUUCACAGCUAGAGUAGCUUUAGCACUAUCAAUUGCCAUCCCAAGUUGGAUAUCAACAACCUGCCCCAAUGCUUGCAGGGAAAGUGCUCUAAGAACUCCUUCUACCAAAUCCACGGGCAAAUCUCUCCUUAGUGCAGCAGGAAACUGUGGGAGCACAUGACGGACAGCACAAUCCAGGUAUCCUGCAGCCUUCAAGAAAAUAUCAAUGGAUGCCCGCCUGCUCUCUGCUGAUACUUUUGGCUGAUAACCAUCAGCGGAUAUUCUUGGAAGAAGUAACAAGUUUGCCUGUGAUAGUAAUAGCAUUGCCAUUAAGUGCAAAACUGACAACACCUCAUACCAUGCAUUAGACAUGGCUGUUUCCUCUGUGUCAUCCUCUUGAUUUAUCCACACAAACUGCAGCUUGUGUUGUAGAUGGCUUCCAUCUUUAACUAAUCCCAAAAGAACAGGCAAGUAAUCUUCAAGAGCCUGAUGAAGAUCAGCCAAAGUUGAACCUCCAUGCUGGGUAGCACUUUUUCUCUUUGUUCUUGUGACUGUUGGUGCUUCUUGGCCAGCCAUAACUACAAUUCGGGUUCUUAAAGCUGAUAAACGUUCCACUAAAUUCGUUGACAAGUGAUCACCAAGUGACACAGAGACAUCAACAGCUUUUGGUAUCCGAAAACCAGGUAUAUAAACAAAAACUUCCCCUAUACUUCCUGGUCUCCUUCUGUUUCCACCAGAAUCCUUCGGUGUAGACACUAGGCACCCCAUUUUCUAAAAUUACUAUACCAAUCCAAGUGAUAAAAAGUCAAUAACCCAAAUAAAAGAGAGUUAUUUGGCAUAUAGAAACUUGCUCACAAAGAUCAGCAGUGAUUCAAAAACACAGAACAGGUUAGCUAGUGAUUCCAAUGAUAUGAAAAUAAUUCAAACAAUCAAGUUCAAAGAAUGUAGUCAAAAAUCACAAGGGAAAGUCGAGGACAACCACUAAGCAAACCAUAAAGAGAACUAAAUAAAUGUCCCAACCAACAAAGCACAAGUUGCAGGUCAUUCACGAGCAACAUCCAAAGACCCACCAGAACUCUCCAAAAGCUUUAGAAAUUGAUGGCCUUGUCUCUUAUCAAAAGGUUAGCUGAUGGGUCACACCUUCUAGUAAUUUCAGAGAAAUUUCUGUGCAGUCAAAUUUCAACUAAAAACUGAAGCAGAUAGAGAGUGGAAGCUGAAAUAGAAAACCCAUGAACCAUAUUAGAAAAAAAAAAUGAAUGUAAAGAGCUGUAAAUUUCAAAUUCAUGAAGAAAAACUCAUUGGAGAGAGAGCAGAGAAAGAGAGAGCCUUUUAGAAGGUUCGAUUGAAGAUGGAAUAUUAAAUGAAGAAAGAAAACAUAGAAAUGGA
rnacentral:misc_RNA from 1 species